CCUGACCAAACUCGGUGUUACCACGACCUGACCGAAGCCCCUCCCUAAUUUACCCCCGCUUCCUCUCACCUCAAACCCUACUCUGUGUCUCUCUGUCUCGAUCACACACUCACCCUCUCUCUCGGCUCUCGACCAAACGCGAAGAAGAAGAGGAAGAUACCAUGAAGGUGAGGUCAUCAGUGAAGAAGCUAUGCGAGUUCUGUAGAACAGUUAAACGUCGUGGGAGAGUCUACAUCUUAUGUACUGCCAAUCCCAAGCACAAGCAACGGCAAGGCAUAUCGACGUUCGCUUAUGAAGGCCCACUGCCUCCUGCGUCCUCUGAGGUCAGCACCAAGCAAGAGCCACUGCCGAGCAGUAGCUGGCGUGUGGGUCUAGCAUCUCUUCUACCCAAACAGGAUAAAUAGGCCUAAAACACAACUUGAAUUGCUACUGUCCUAUUGCAGAUUAUGAGGUUAGUUCCUCGGAUUCUGUCAUUUGGGUUGUCAUUAUCUCGAGCUUUGGCAAUCAUUUGCUCUUCCCCUCUUUUAACAGUAAAAACGAUGUGUAGUAGACUUGUGUAAGCAUCUGUUGUCUCAAUGCAUGCAUACAUCAUCUUCUGAUGCUUAUAAUCAAUAUUUUCUUUUGAAUGAUUCUUA